rnacentral:lncRNA from 1 species
CUGUUUGAACAGUUAGAGCUCCCCCAAAUCCAGCACAUAUAUAGGGGAGAAAUUUGGUUGUCCAGACUAUCCAACAUGUUAUAUCCAACACAUGGCCCCAGCGCCAUCACGCACCCUUCCUACUUUGUUCUCUCUUUAAAACCGGGUGUUAGAUUAACCGGUCAUUGAUCUGGUUGCAACCUAUAAAUAUGUAAAUGUCCUUUCAUCAACAAUAGUCAUCCUUGAUAAAAUGAAGGGAUAGCCACAUGUCUAUCAGUAUUGUAGCAUCUCAAAAUUCUUUGAAACAAUUGGUCUAGUAAAAGAAGAAAACAAAAUUCACAACAAUACCACACUACUACUGCCAUAAUCCAGUAAGAGACCAUCUACUAAUGUGCUAAACAAGGGCAACACCCAAUGGAAAUCAAAUGUGUGCCCUUCAUGUUCAACUUCAAGGUUUCAACCAAUAUGAAUCCCCUUGCUGCAAGCAACCAACAAAUCACAGUUCAGCGAUAACAAGAUCCAGAAAAUCAUAUCUCACCAUGAAACUGAAUCCCCAAACAAUAAUCAACCGCAAUGGACUUGUGCCUCGGCUUAAGGGUGGAUCCGAACAGCCGAUGUCUGGCCAUUGGCUUAGGCAUACUCUAUAGCCGCAAUAGGUCAAUACAUGUCUGUUAAUUGUAACCUGAAAAAAUAGCUAGUAAGUGUCAGAGUAUAGUUGCAAUAGGUUAAGUAAAAUGCAGAUAAGGGGAUGCAAACUGUCAUGAGCUUUCCAUUGAAAUUUUAAUCAGAAAAGAUCAUUAAACUGGGCUGCUAAUGAUAAUUGUUGACCUGUCAUUAGUUUUUGGUGGCCAUACAAAUUUAUUUGAUUGAAAAGUAAAACAGCCAUAGUGAUAGCUCCAGCCAACAACCAAAAAUGUAGUCUCACAAGACAUAAAUGAACAUGCAUAGUCAUUAUACUCAACAAACUGUUAGAUUGCAGGCGACCUAGUAAAACUUUGGAGCUUCUCAAGUUAUAUGGAUUUUCUAGCUAAUAAGUGCGCACUACUGAUAGUUUUUUGUAUCUUGUAAAAACUGAUGCGAUUUUGUUUACAACACGAUGUUUAAGGGGCACCUCCGUGUAGGAUUAUUGCCUUCAUUAAUUCCAGACAUGCAACCUUGCACUAUUCUUGUGCCUAGAGCAGAAAGACAACAAGGAAGCAAUCUUGCUUCCUCAAAAGAAAAUAUACAAUGUGGAAAUUUUACACUGUAAUUUCAAGUCCAAAUUAGACAGCUCCAACAUCAAAUAUACAGCUCAUCAUGACAGAACUGUUCUAUUUACGAGACAUCUCUGUAGGGUAUAGUAUAGUGGUACACCCAAAACCAGCUCUAGAAAGAAAGCGCAAUGGUUAUCACGUGUCGUGUUUUUGGUGGUGAAGGAAAUUCUUGCUAAUGGUAGCAAUCAGUGAUUAGCAUAUAAAAAAAACCUACAGACUCCCUACACCCUGCUACACAUGAUUUGGUACUAUGGCUACUCUGUAAGUUCACAUCAUUCACGAAAUGAGCCAAAUUAUGUUAUCAGUAUGCUACACGAACUGAAGGCAACGAAUUAAUUAAAGCGUCAAUUAGGCAUUUGACAAUCCUGAAUCCUAGGAAAAGGGAUCAAUAUCCAACCUCAAAAUCAAAUGCAUGAAACAGUCCUGGUACAAAGCCACUCACCAUGGUCCUCAUGUUCUCGCCACCGACGACCAUUGUGUCAACAGAAGAUCGUAAUGGAACCUAUCCCUUCUUUUCCUCCCCCUGCUACCUCCUCCGAGUCACCACAAAAGCUCCUUGCAUCGCAGAUAUG